UCCCUCUCAGGGUCGCACCUGGAGAGUUUCCAGUACUCUACCAGUCUUGAUUAUGGGAGGGAGAGUCAAGCAGAGGCCAUGCCAUUCCCAGCUUGGGCAGUGGCUAGUGAGUGGAAGGCAAUCGGCUACAAAU